rnacentral:lncRNA from 1 species
GCGAGUUUGGGCCUAAGGAUCUUCGGGUUCCAACCCACCCCUUAGCAUCUUCUCCGUGAAUCCGUUUGGAGUCAAGGAUCUAUCCAUCCGAUACCGACCAAGUGUGUGCCGUUCUUUGGGAAUUCGUAUCAAGUGGUAUCAGAGCCACGCACUUGAAGAAAGCGGUAUUAUCUAUCUUUUUGUCUUUUCAAAUUCCGUCUUAUCCUUUCUUUCUUUUGUAAUUCCAGAUCUAUUUAAA